GCUACUUGAUGCACUGCUUUAUUAAACACUGUGUUUUGUAUCCAAUCAAUAAAUCGAACUAUAAAUUAUACUUAUAUUGCCAAAGCAUUCCUAUCCAGACAGUACUCAAAUAUUUCAUUUGAGAGAUUUGUUUUGCUCUAUAUAUGAUUUGUAUAAUUGUAUUGAUGACUGAAGCACUCAUUCUCCAUACAGUACUCAAAGAUUUCAUUUGAGAGAGACAUGUUGCUUUAUAUGUAUUGUGUGUUGGUUUUUUUUUGGUUAAUUUUUUAUUGACAUAUCAGAGAAUUUUGAGUCAAAGCAGGAAAUUUUCUGUUUCGGCUUUCCUCCGUGGCUCAUGUGUUUGAAACUUUGAAUCCAUAUAGCAUCUUUUUGUAUACUUUGUACAUAAUUAUUUCUCCAAAUGUUGUUCUGACUCCUUUACAUUUAUCUCCAUUGACCUAGGAAUUGAAAAGGAAGGAAGAGGCGGCAUCCUGAGUGUUGGUGGGACUGAUUAUGGGUCUAUUAGAGUAGGCACUUACGUGGGUUGCAAGAUGAUCAAGUGGUGCUGCAUCUAACCUACUUUCAGAAGUGUUGCUCUCAUGUACGUCUAUGCAAUCAAGCAACUCUAAUCCUGUUGAAUCAUGUAAUUCUUCUGGAUGCUAGAUCUCUGGGCAUUAAUGUUUGUGCCGCAAAUCAUGUAGGCAGUUACGUCCAUGUCUUUUGUAUAUUUUGUCUUUCUUAGCAUUUUAUAAGUUUUGGAGUGAGCAAAACACAUGGAUGAUGACCUUUGGAUAAGACUAAACAUCUCAUGGAAGUAUUUAUGGUCCCGUGGCAAGAGAAAUAUAGGCCAAAUAAUUUUGACUCUUAAGAUUUUCUAUCAUGUAUGUGUGCUUAUUUAAUUCAGAUGCAGCCAUAUAGGCAAGGAAUAGAGAUUUAUAGGACCCACAAAA